rnacentral:lncRNA from 1 species
CAGACAUGCUGGGGGGUUAUAAAACAUAUUGGCACAAAAAUCUGAAAAACAAUCUAGACAAAGACAAAAACAGUCCACAUGUGAUUUCUUCUAUUUUGGAAUGUGUAGAUCACUCACUUAACUUUCCCUGAGCUUCAUGAGCUCUGCCUUCCAGUUUAAGCCCUGGAAAUACAUAACGAAGCACAAAAGCCAGCUUUGCUUUAUGAGCUCCAUGGAAAAGACACACAAUAAAAUGGUCAUAUUUUAAUGUGAAAAAUGUUAAUGACAAGUAAAGCCAAGUGUGUCAAGGGGACAUAGUAAAGGGGCCUAAUGUGGCUUGGAGAGUCAGGGAGGGCUCGUGCUUUGUACAACGGCUUUGUAUCUAAACUCUCAUACAAAGGGUGAGAAGUUGGCCAGGCAAAGAUGGGGAAUUUGUGGAAGGGGUCAUGAAAGAUUUGAGGGCUGGAAGAAAUUUCACUCUGGCUAGGGCAUAGAGCGCGAACUAGGUUCUCAGACCCGAAGCCAGAGGAAUGAGUAGAAACUACAUCACGGGACCUUGGAAACCAACGUUAAGAAGCUGCCAAAGCACCUUGAGGAGAAAGACUUGAUUAGUAUUAUAUUGAAACAUGAAUUAUUUGGGAAAUGUCAAGGUGUCUGAAAAGUGGAAUGAGUUAAAAUUGAGGAAGGAAGCAUUCUAGGUGUGAUAUUACAUUUUUUACUUGAAAGUCAUUAAUCCAGGUAUCUCAGCAGCUGGAAUUUAACCCUCAGUGAAUAAACAAAAAGAAA